GGAGACGGCAAAUGGCGGACUUCGAUACCUACGACGAUCGGGCCUACAGCAGCUUCGGCGGCGGUAGAGGGUGAGGCGAGCGGGGCGCGGUCAGGCGGGCCAGCGGCUCGGCCGGGGGGAGUGCCGAAAGGUUCGAAGGGGGAGGCGGCCUUGCCGCGCUCACUCGAGACGGGCGGCGGGAAGCGGCCUGAGCAGGCCCGAGGCGAGGCCUGGAAAUGGCGCGCUCCGGGAGCGGCUGGCGACGGUUAGGCUGCGGGUCUCUCGCUUGCUCGCGGCGCACAUCCUGCCCUCGGCUCCGCGCCGGCCCCGGACCCGGCACCCUGCGGGGCCUCGGUCGGAAAGUUAGAUCACAGCGACACCGGAGGGUUUCCCGGGGAUACCAGUGCCCGCCCGCCGCGUCCAGCUUUCUCCCCAGCGCGCUCCGGGCUGGGAUGCAGCGCGGAAGCGGGCGGCGGCGGCGGAAGCGGCCUGCCCCUCUCCAGGGUCCCCGCUGCCUGGCGGAGCCCCUGGGUCGCUUCUGCGAGAGGCCCGCCGGCAGCGAGAGGGGCGAUUUCCCUUCCGAUUCGAGUCUGGAUGCUGGGACCGUCGGAUCCAGCGAGGGAGACAGGGAGCGGGGACCUGAACCAAAACAAAUCCACCGUAGUGGGGAGUGUGCGUGGCUCUUUCUCUCUGCCUCCCUGGCGUUUCGAAUGCCUUAUUGACAGAUACUACGUGUCUGCUGGCGGAGAUUGUUGAUUUCUUCCCAGUUUCUUCCCUGACCUGGGGAAUCGCUUUCGCUUCGUUCUGAUUCCGGUCAGAUAAAGACAACAUACUUUAAAACCAGUCCUCCUCCCACCUCCCUAAAUCCUUUACUGAUGAAUAGAUAGCUCCUGGUGCAUAAUUCCAAAAAACGGGCGCCCGGAUAGUUUGUGCCCUUUUAAAUAACACGUUACCAGCUGGGGUUGUGGCUCAGUCACAGAGCGAUUGUCUAGCAUAUCUUGGAUUCAGUCUCCUGCCAAACAAUAGAAAUAAACAAGCAUCAGCCACUUGCUUUUUUUUCUUUUUUUUUUUUAAGCUUAUAGGAGUUUUAUGGGACAAUUUAAUCGUCUUGUUUAUUUGUCAAGGACACACUUGGCUUUUAUCCUUUUUUACAGCAAAGGUGACUUGCCCGGAGAAUAUCACAAUAGUUGUACUGAGGUGUUGGGUUUCCUAGGUGGCUGCCCCCAAAGUGUCUUUUGUUAGGUGAAGAAUGAUCACCUUUAAAUACCUGGGUUUGAGAGUGAGUCACAGUCUUGUUUGGUUGCAGUAGUGUACUGGGUACUCUUCAUGCUUUCAGAAGGAGGAAGUUGGGGCUAAGGUGGAGCCACACGUAUUUUAUUUGCUAAUAAAAAUAAAAAUAGGUGUUGGAUGAAAUGUUAGCAUGAAUACCCUUGGGGAUGGCUUUCUAGGUAUGGGAUUUGUACUAACGUCCCAUUGGGUUGUUUUUUUUGUUUUAAAGAUAGAGUCUUGGUGUGUAUGUAAUUCUGGCCAACUUGGAACACGCCAUGCAGACCAGGUGAAUUCAGCCCACCUCUGCCUUCCCAGUGGUGGGAUUAGAGGCCUGAGCCGGCAUGCUCAGUUUGGGUUGGGUUGUUUUUCUCUACUUGAAAGAAGUAAAUGUGCUCAGGGGCUCUUUUUUUCCUACUCGAAUCCUCAUACUGUAGAGAGGUUGAGGCAGGAGAAACCCAAGUUUCAGACAGCCUGGACUACAUAGUGAGGUCUUAUCUCAAAGGGGAAGAAAACGCCUUUGAACAAACUUCCCAACCUUUGAUGAUGAUGGAAAGGUCAUUAGACUUAGCACAUGCCACAAAUGAGACCCUUGAAUAACUUU
rnacentral:lncRNA from 1 species